GAGUUGGUUGGAUAAUCGCUAGUUGCAAAAUUAGAGGAAAGUCCGGGCUCCGCGGAUCAAGGUGCUAGAUAACGUCUAGGCAGUGUGAGCUGACGGAAAGUGCUGAAGAAAUUAGACCGCCGAUUUAUCGGUAAGGGUGAGAAGGUGCGGUAAGAGCGCACCGUACACGAGGCGACUUUGUGUAGCUGAAGUAAACCCCACCUGGAGCAAGACCAAAUAGGAGUACAUGUGGCGUGAUCCGUGCCGUACUCGGGUAGGUUGCUGGAGGUAGAGAGUGAUCUCUAUCCUAGAUGAAUGAUUGUCCUCGACAGAACCCGGCUUACAGACCAACUCAA
rnacentral:RNase_P_RNA from 1 species